rnacentral:miRNA from 1 species
UGAGUAUUACAUCAGGUACUUC